rnacentral:RNase_P_RNA from 1 species
CGAGUGGGCCAGGCGACCGCGUACUUCGGUGCGAGGAAAGUCCGGGCUCCCCAGGGCACGAUGCCAGCUAACGGCUGGGCGAGGUGACUCGACGGACAGUGCCACAGAAAAGAAAACUCCCCUGCGCGAAACGUUCUGCCUAGCAGAACGCACGAAACAGGAGAAAAGCUGAAACGGUGCGGUAAGAGCGCACCAGCGCGUUGGCAACAACGCGGCUUGGUAAACCCCAUCGGGAGCAAGCGCAAAUAGGAAUGCCAUACGGUGGCCCGCCGUGCAUUCGGGUUGCGUGCUAGAGGCGCCUGGCGACAGGCGUUCGAGAUAAAUGGUCGCCCCCGACAGAACCCGGCUUACAAGCCCGCUCGCCCA